GAUCUCGCUUCUGAGCUGCACCAACCCGACCCGCUCGUUUUUUUUUUUCUCGAAAUUUGUGCGCGCAGCAGCCCCAAACAAAGAAAGGAAAUCAUUUUGCCCUAACCUUUCUCUCACUCUCUUAAACACCCUAAGGCCUUUUUAGCUUCCUGAAGAGUCGGGGCACCACCAAAGACGAGUCUCGGCAUCGGCUCACCGAUCAUCUGCUCCUCCACACUGUCGGCGAACACCCGCUCGUUGAGCUCUCAACACGACCUCUACACCGCCGCGUCGAUCUGCGAAGCCGUCAAGGCGCUCGAUUCACGUCAUCAGAAGACGAAACGACCGCCGACGCAGGACAAGAGGGGAUCGAAUGCAGCGAGCAGCGACAAGGGGCGUGGAGCUGUGAGCGGCGUUUAAACCGCCAAACAGGUAACAUUCAUCUGUCAAUCUGUUCAAGCCGCAUUUGUGAACUAAGCAGACAGAUGCAGAUUGAUUUUGGGCGGAUGGAAGAUGGGAUGUCACCCGACCCAAUCCAAACUGCGAGCACCCCUAAGUUACACACUUCUGGGAGAACUUACGACACAUUUUAUAGGUUAAUUUAUGAGAUUUUACAUUAAGUUGUGAUUUUUUAAAUUUUUAUGAAUUAAAUUACAUGAAUUUGUGUUUAAGUCAUACGAUUUUGUGAAGUGAUUUACAUAUGUUUGUGAGAACUUACGGUAAAUUGUGAUUUUUUAAAUUUUUAUAAGUUAAGUUACGUGAUUUUA